CUCCAAUCAGUAAAGUCUGAAUUUUAUUCAAACCAAUCAUUUGGGAUCAUGUUUGCAUUUAUAUGACAAUUUGGAGAUUUUUAAUAGCCAGCUAUUUGUUCAUCUUAUAGCUGUAGCCUUCAUUUAAGGUCUCUUUAUAAAGAUAGAUAGGAAAGGGGGAAAAUCCAGACAAAGGAACUAUAAGGGGAAAAUAAAAGUUAGCCCUCCUACACAAAACCUCAUUGGUCCCUAGAGUCUCUAUGUCAUAAUAGAUUCAGGAAUGCAGUCAUUGGAAUGCAAGAAGGGCUGCUGCAAGUGGCACCAAGUCACUCAAUGACAUGCAACAAGAACAACUGGACACAGCUUUAUACCUCCUGAGAGCAGUGUUAGGAGAAAGCAGGAGCAGACCCUGUCUUUAAUGUCCUGGUGGUGGACCAUUUCAAGUCCAUCCUCAAGAAGCACAUCUUAGCAAUCAGUUGAUGGACCACUGCAAUUUUUAUGAUUUGGAGACUUCUGAUCCAGGGACAUGUUCUUUUAGGGAAGGAUGUAGAGCAAAAGAUAUGCAUAAACUUGUGAAACUUUACCACUGUUCAGAAUUCCUCAGAGAGAGAAACUACAUUCAUCUUGGAAAUCCAUAUUGCGUACUUUGAAGAACUGCAGUUCUUCUUGCAAACUCUUUAUUUCUUUGAAGUUAGGUCAGGAGAAUAAUACGGCAUCAUUCUGUGGACAAGCCAUGGUUAUUGCCACCAAAUAAAAUGUCUCUGUAUCAAGAAUCUGGCCCUUCUAAAAGUAGCAUUUGUGAUUAGAGAUCAUGUCCAGGUCUAUCUAUACACAGUGCCCCCGCCACCCCAAUAUACUUUUAAUUGAGUUUUUACUCACU
rnacentral:lncRNA from 1 species